UGAAGGCUGAAAUUCGCCUUCAUGAAGCUGGAAUUGCUAGUAAUGGCAGGUCAGCAUACUGCCGUGAAUACGUUCCCGGGCCUUGUACACACCGCCCGUCACACCAUGAGAGUUGGAAAUACCCGAAGCCUGUGAGCUAACUUAAAGAGGCAGCAGUCGAAGGUAGAGCCAAUGAUUGGGGUGAAGUCGUAACAAGGUAGC
rnacentral:rRNA from 1 species